AUCCAUACUCCUCUCCCUUCAGAUUGCAUAGGAAGUAGGAACGAUAAACACCAUGUGAAAUAAAUGAUGCUUAUAUUCCAUGAUUUUUAACCUUAAUCGAAGCCCAUUCAAACUGAAGCCAAUUUGAUUUAUGAAUCUCUCUAUCUCCAAUGCUUCUCUCUUCAGUUCCCAUACAACCGUCCACCACUGCCACCGGUAUUGUCCAAUUAGUUGUGUUCAUUCCCACUCACCUCCUAUACUGACCAAUAGUGGCAAAGAAGAGAAUGUAAAUUUUCUUGGGCUAAGGAAGAAAACACCAAAAAUGUUAGUCUCCCAUUUAAAAAGCAACAAUGCUAUAUGUUACGAGUUACGACUUACGAAUUAGAGACCGCCCCAAAUAAACAGAGUUAACACAUCACAGCAGGCAAGCGCCGCCGCCGCCACCCUCCACUCUCUCACGCCUAAACCCUUGAUUCCUCCGUCCUCCUCAUCCGCUCCCAGCUCUAACCAAAGCUUUCUUCUUCCUCAAUUUCAACCUUGACGCCGCUGUUUCAACCUCCUUAUUCUAAUGGUUGGUUUCAUGCAUUUCAGACAGAUUUCUUCAAGAACCUAAUACAGGGAAAGUCAGUUUGAUAACUCUACGAGUGUUGAUUCUGCAUCUGAUUUCUUAUUACAAAGGUUGUGAAUGUGAUACUUGGCUGGGCUAUGAGGUUCCUUCACACAGCAUGCUCUCAAAGAUUUCUAAAAUUGUUGGAACAAUACAAGAAAUCUUCAUUGUACCAUGUCCCCAUCUAUUUGGGAAAAAAUGUAUACAUGUAUACACUCCUGAUCAGGCAGUCAAUGACCAUUUGAGCUAAGUCUUCUAUACAUAAUUUCUUGACUGCAAAAUCUCUAUUUGUUUGAAAAUGAUUAUGAUGGUUAAACUUCCUCUUUAUACUCAAAUGCAUUUUUGUCCUCGCUGUUGUCAUGAGAUCUUUUGUGUUUGGACUUUUGAUUAGAAUUGUACCUAUUACAAUAAAAUGUUUUUCUAACUAAACUUAAUAGUCUUACUCUUCACCAAUCUUUAUAAGCAUAUAUCCGUUUUAUGCAGGUCCAAAAUGGUAGUUUUUAAAUUUUCACUGAAUGAUAGUAUAAGUUGCACUCAUUUUGCCUCUUUUAUCUUUAUCUUUUGUUCAGCAUCAAAGAAAUUUGGCUGUUGGAGAAGACUUCCAUUGUCAAUCUACAUUGUGAAGACUCAAUAUCUAAAUAAUAUACCGAAAAAUCUACUUCAAGCAAUGUCUAUGAGGAUGUCCAUGUCUACUUUUACCUUCAUGUUCUUAUUAUUAUUUUGGUGGUAAUCUUACUCCCAAUGUAUAUUUAUGCAGUUCUUUUUGAAUGAUCUACUUACCCUGGCCAGCUUACCGAUCAUCAAGGUCAAGUACAAAAGAUUGGGAUAAGCUGGAAGCAAUGGUGAAAAAAGAGGUUUUGCAGCUGAAGUGUGAAAUUGUUUUAUUAUGCCUUUGUAAUUUGACUUGGUAAGAAGCAUAAUGAUUACUUAAGUCUGAAUGCUUAAGUCACACUAGGCGGAGAGAAUUUGCCGGAGUUUUCAUCAUGAGGUAUAUAGUUGUCUAUGCCACCAAGAACCCCACUUCCUAAUCAUCUUCACUAUUAUGCUUUUUGUGGAAGACUUCAAGAGUUACGCCUCUCUGAUUUCCGUGAUGAUUGGGAGUACUCGAUGUUUCUUUGUUCAGAGUCUAGAAAAGUUCAAAGAAUAAAGGGAACUAUUUAUGUUGUGCACAUGGUUUAACAUUGCAGUAAAGGAGUCUUUGUUGGAUGGCAGAAGCUGAAGUUGGAGCUGGAUUUCAAUUGUAUUUGUACUGAUUCCAAGAAUAAAUUAGAUCAUUUAGUCAGAUUUUUGUAAAAUAAUUGUGUAGUGAAUUGUGUUUUGAUUGAUGUUUCUAUUUAGAAAAUUCAUUUUCCCAAA